GGGAGACAUGGAUGCAUCAGGCCUCUCGGGAAAGACCACCAGGCCCUGCCUGCUGUGGAACACGGACCCUGGAACCUUAGACUUGGGAGGCCCACCCAGCCCCUCCACCCUGUAGGAAGCCAGCACAGAGAGGUUAAGGGAGUGGCCCCAAGUUGCCCAUCCCCCAAGAGGUUUCUGGGGACCCAGCGAUGACAACCCCACGUGGAGACCAAUGUAACAUCUUCCCUCCUCAGUUCGGCAUGUGGCUCAAAGGCAGGUGACACCCAGAAUAUGCACUUGACUUGUGGUUUGGAGAGUGGGUUCCAUUCUGCCUCUGUGACCUUGACAAAUGACUUUCCUAACAAGGACCCAAAAUAUCACCGCCUGAACACCCACAGUGCGUGCAGCUUAUACCAGCCACUUCCCAUCUGCCCUCUCAUUUCAUCUUGCCCUCUGAGGCAGGUGUCUCAAGAGAUCAGACUGGUCAAGCUUCCCCGGCAGCAGAGCUGGGAUUUGAACCCAGAGAGCUGAAGCUGCCAGCUGCUUGGCUCUGGAUAAGUGAGAGGUGGCCACGUGGAAAUACACAGCGGUAGCCCAUCCUUCCGUAUUUACUUCCUCAAUCAACUAAUAUGUAUUUGGAGCCCUACUCGGUGCCGGGAGCCACUCUAGAUCCUGGAGCUACAGCAGAAAAGAAAGACCAAGGGUCCCAUAGAGGAAGGCAAUCAUUGAAUGACCCAGGAGUCUGCACUUCCCAGUUGAAUAGGACUUUCACCUCCCUUUUACUAGACUCCAUACCUCUACUAAUAU